rnacentral:rRNA from 1 species
AUGGCUCGCAAGAAGGUGACCCUGCAGUACAUCGCCAAGGACUCCGCCCGGCGCACUAGGUUCAGGAAUCGUCUCGGGAGCCUGAUGAAAAAGGCGACCGAGCUGGGCACCAUGUGCGAUGUCAAGACCUGCCUGGUGGUGUACGGCGAGGGCGAGGCGGAGCCUCAGGUGUUCCCUUCCCACGCCGAGGCGGUGGAUAUCCUGAAUGAAUUCAAGAGCAUGCCGGAGCUGGGGCAUUGCAAGAAGACGCUGGACCAGGAGGCAUUCCUCACCCAGCGCAUCGCCAAGCUCCGGGACCAGGUCGACAAGGCUCGCCGCGAGUGCCAGGACAGCGAGAUCAGGUACCUCCUUUACAACAUCAUGCACGGCAACCACCCAGGCCUCGUUGAGCUCAGCGCUGAGGAGCUCGCCCGCGUUGGCUGGAUGGUGGACGAGCUCCUCAAGAGCCUCGGCGAACGCAUGGCAAAAAACCAUGUCCAGGCGCCACCGCCAGCUCCAUGCACCCUUCUCCGUUCUUCAGACCGGCCCACAGGAGUUUCUCUACAUACCUCUGCUUCCCAUGCUCUCGAUCUUGCUCUACGUCACCCCACUGACCGGACCUCCAUCAGCAUGUAA